rnacentral:pre_miRNA from 1 species
GUUUGCCUGUGUAUGGAUGGUGUUCAGCACCAAGGACAGACAUGUUUUUGUGUGUGGAUGGUGUUCAGUACCAAGGGCAGACAUGUUUUCUU